GUAAUAUCUUUGGGUCCUCAAACUCUUCCAUUAUACUUUUUAAAAAUGCUGUGGUUGUUCAAUUUCCUCGUGUUUAUAAGCAGGUUGCCAUGGGCCAGUUCACAGGUUGUCCUCACUCAGUCAGGCCCAGAAAUGAAAAAGCCUGGAGAAUCUGCGAGGUUAACCUGUGCCGUGAGAGGUUUCGAUCUUAGCAGCUAUGGCAUGAACUGGGUCCGGCAGUCUCCGGGGAAAGGGCUAGAAUGGCUGGUUUACUAUCACACCCCAUCCAGCAAUAACUAUUCCCCAACCAUCCGAGGGCGUUUCACUGCCUCCAAGGACAGCACCAACCUUUAUCUUCAGAUGAACAGCCUGAAGCAAGAAGACACGGCUGUGUAUUACUGUGCCAGAGACACAGUGCUGGAAAUUGAAUUUGAGCUCAGACAAAAACCUUUUUGUGUAAAAUUAAAAGACUGCAGGGGGCACUGA